GGAAGAUCAAUUAAAACUCCAAAGAGACAUUUGCCAACAUCUUCCGAUGAUGAUCAUCCAUCUAAGAAAAAACUGAAAUCUUCUGAAGAUGUUAAAAAUCGGUUACAAACCUUAAAAGCACAUCUUGCAAAAAUUGAAUCGAAAAGGAGUGGCGAUUCUAUAGAUGCUUAUCCAUUGAAAUCACAUAAGGAUAAUUCGAAAUCGACUCUAGUUAUUAAUGCUUGCAGUUCUGAGAAAUCAGUCGUUUCAAAACAUUCUCUGAUUAAACAUUUAAACUUGGAAAAAUCAACUUCAAGUCAAUUUCAGAGAGAUCAUUCUGAAAAACGACGUAUGGAUCACUUAAAUAAUAAUUCCCAGUUGAUUCUAGAUGAUACAGAUAGCAGUUCAUCUUCUAACAAUUCUCCGAUUGGAAACUUAAGCUUGGAGAAUGAGAAGUCAUUGAAUCCUAUAGUCACUCAAGAGAAAGUAACUGGAUCUGAAUCUAAUUUUGAGAAUCCUGGAAUGAAACAGGUGCAAAAACAGAUUU